AUUGAACGCUGGCGGCAGGCCUAACUCAUGCAAGUCGAGCGGAGCGGCGGACGGGGGAGUAAUGCCUAGGAGUCUGCCUGGUAGUGGGGGAUAACGUCCGGAAACGGGCGCUAAUACCGCAUACUAUCAGAUGAGCCUAGGUGGGAUUAGCUAGUUGGUGGGGUAAAGGCCUACCAAGGUGACGAUCCGUAACUGGUCUGAGAGGAUGAUCAGUCACACGGGACCUGAGACACGGUCCAGACUCCUACGGGGGGCAGCAGUGGGGAAUAUUGGACAAUGGGCGAAAGCCUGAUCCAGCCAGGCCGCGUAUGUGAAGAAGGUCUUCGGAUUGUAAAGCACUUUAAGUUGGGAGGCGUUACCAACAGAAUAAGCACCGGCUAACUUCGUGCCAGCAGCCGCGGUAAUAC
rnacentral:rRNA from 1 species